GAUGAACGCUAGCUACAGGCUUAACACAUGCAAGUCCAUGGGCAGCAUGGUCUUAGCUUGCUAAGGCCGAUGGCGACCGGCGCACGGGUGAGUAACACGUAUCCAACCUGCCGUCUACUCUUGGACAGCCUUCUGAAAGGAAGAUUAACACAAGAUGGCAUCAUGAGUCCGCAUGUUCACAUGAUUAAAGGUAUUCCGGUAGACGAUGGGGAUGCGUUCCAUUAGAUAGUAGGCGGGGUAACGGCCCACCUAGUCUUCGAUGGAUAGGGGUUCUGAGAGGAAGGUCCCCCACAUUGGAACUGAGACACGGUCCAAACUCCUACGGGAGGCAGCAGUGAGGAAUAUUGGUCAAUGGGCGAGAGCCUGAACCAGCCAAGUAGCGUGAAGGAUGACUGCCCUAUGGGUUGUAAACUUCUUUUAUAAAGGAAUAAAGUCGGGUAUGGAUACCCGUUUGCAUGUACUUUAUGAAUAAGGAUCGGCUAACUCCGUGCCAGCAGCCGCGGUAAUACGGAGGAUCCGAACGUUAUCCGGAUUUAUUGGGUUUAAAGGGAGCGUAGAUGGAUGUUUAAGUCAGUUGUGAAAGUUUGCGGCUCAACCGUAAAAUUGCAGUUGAUACUGGAUAUCUUGAGUGCAGUUGAGGCAGGCGGAAUUCGUGGUGUAGCGGUGAAAUGCUUAGAUAUCACGAAGAACUCCGAUUGCGAAGGCAGCCUGCUAAGCUGCAACUGACAUUGAGGCUCGAAAGUGUGGGUAUCAAACAGGAUUAGAUACCCUGGUAGUCCACACGGUAAACGAUGAAUACUCGCUGUUUGCGAUAUACUGCAAGCGGCCAAGCGAAAGCGUUAAGUAUUCCACCUGGGGAGUACGCCGGCAACGGUGAAACUCAAAAGGAAUUGACGGGGGGCCGGCCCAAGCGGAAGGAACAUGUGGUUUAAUUGGAUGAUACGCGAGGAACUUUACCGGGGCUUAAUUGCAGAUGAAUUACGGUGAAAGCCGUAAGCCGCAAGGCAUCUGUGAAGGUGCUGCAUGGUUGUCGUCAGCUCGUGCCGUGAGGUGUCGGCUUAAGUGCCAUAACGAGCGCAACCCUUGUUGUCAGUUACUAACAGGUUCCGCUGAGGACUCUGACAAGACUGCCAUCGUAAGAUGUGAGGAAGGUGGGGAUGACGUCAAAUCAGCACGGCCCUUACGUCCGGGGCUACACACGUGUUACAAUGGGGGGUACAGAGGGCCGCUACCACGCGAGUGGAUGCCAAUCCCCAAAACCUCUCUCAGUUCGGACUGGAGUCUGCAACCCGACUCCACGAAGCUGGAUUCGCUAGUAAU
rnacentral:rRNA from 1 species